rnacentral:misc_RNA from 1 species
GAUGAAGAACGUAGUGAAAUGCGAUACGUAAUGUGAAUUGCAGAAUUCAGUGAAUCAUCGAGUCUUUGAACGCACAUUGCGCCCCCUGGUAUUCCGGGGGGCAUGCCUGUCCGAGCGUCAUUGCUGCCCUCAAGCACGGCUUGUGUGUUGGGCCUCCGUCCUCCUCCCGGGGGACGGGCCCGAAAGGCAGCGGCGGCACCGCGUCCGGUCCUCGAGCGUAUGGGGCUUCGUCACCCGCUCUUGUAGGCCCGGCCGGCGCUUGCCGACACAUCAAUCUUUUUUCCAGGUUGACCUCGGAUCAGGUAGGGAUACCCGCUGAACUUAAGCAUAUAAUAAGCGGAGGA